rnacentral:rRNA from 1 species
AGUGAACGCUGGCGGCAGGCCUAACACAUGCAAGUCGAACGGCAGCACAGAGGAGCUUGCUCCUUGGGUGGCGAGUGGCGGACGGGUGAGGAAUGCAUCGGAAUCUGCCUAUUUGUGGGGGAUAACGUAGGGAAACUUACGCUAAUACCGCAUACGUCCUACGGGAGAAAGUGGGGGACCUUCGGGCCUCACGCAGAUAGAUGAGCCGAUGCCGGAUUAGCUAGUUGGCGGGGUAAAGGCCCACCAAGGCGACGAUCCGUAGCUGGUCUGAGAGGAUGAGCAGCCACACUGGAACUGAGGCACGGUCCAGACUCCUACGGGAGGCAGCAGUGGGGAAUAUUGGACAAUGGGCGCAAGCCUGAUCCAGCCAUGCCGCGUGUGUGAAGAAGGCCUUCGGGUUGUAAAGCACUUUUGUCCGGAAAGAAAAGCGCUCGAUUAAUACUCGGGUGUUAUGACGGUACCGGAAGAAUAAGCACCGGCUAACUUCGUGCCAGCAGCCGCAGUAAAAC